rnacentral:rRNA from 1 species
GAUGAACGCUAGCUACAGGCUUAACACAUGCAAGUCGAGGGGAAACGAUAUUGGAAGCUUGCUUCCGAUAGGCGUCGACCGGCGCACGGGUGAGUAACGCGUAUCCAACCUGCCCAUCACUUGGGGAUAACCUUGCGAAAGUAAGACUAAUACCCAAUGACGUCUCUAGAAGACAUCUGAAAGAGAUUAAAGAUUUAUCGGUGAUGGAUGGGGAUGCGUCUGAUUAGCUUGUUGGCGGGGUAACGGCCCACCAAGGCGACGAUCAGUAGGGGUUCUGAGAGGAAGGCCCCCCACAUUGGAACUGAGACACGGUUCCAAACUCCUACGGGAGGCAGCAGUGAGGAAUAUUGGUCAAUGGACGAGAGUCUGAACCAGCCAAGUAGCGUGCAGGAUGACGGCCCUAUGGGUUGUAAACUGCUUUUAUAAGGGAAUAAAGUGAGUCUCGUGAGACUUUUUGCAUGUACCUUAUGAAUAAGGACCGGCUAAUUCCGUGCCAGCA